AGAAGCCUUCAAUACUGUUGGUAAAUAUUUUUUUUAUAUAUUUGGGGGGUGGGGGUGUAGACAUAGUCUCAUAAAAAUAUUUGUUGGAGUCUAAUUUUUCAUGAUAUCUUAUUCAGAUUUGAAAUAUAAACUCAGGAGACAUGUGGCUUUCAACCCAUUACUUUUCUAGAUUGCUCCAGGACGCAUUUCAUGUAUUUUUAUAUCAAAUAAAAAAAUAUUUAAGUGUGGUAAAAAAAAUAAUUCAAGGCAAUUCAGUGUCUAUAACUUUUAAUAUUUUUGCAUUAUCAAAUCUGGUUAAUAAAAAGUAAAGCCCAAAAGUAAAGCCUUCUUUCCAAAGACACCAACAUUAUGUUUGUAACACACUGAAGUAGGAAACUGUUACAAUUAUAAGUUAGGUAGAGCACUUUAAGCUGUGAGUCCCAUAAUGGGGGGUGCUGGGUGCAAAUAAUUUAUUUCUAUUUAUUAAGACACAAAACUCAUGACAUAAAAGUAAAUUAAAUUUAUGCAUUUAGCAGAUGCUUUUAUCCAAAGAAACUUACAUUUCAAGCUAACAAUUUUCUCCUAACAUGUGUUCCCUUGGAUUCGAACCCCCAACCUUGCACUUGCUAAGCAUUGCUCUACCACUUGAGAUACCGGAACACUUAUAUUAUAUUAUAUUAUAUUAUAUUAUAUUAUAUUAUUCCAUAAUAGUAGAACAGCUAUCAAGGUUACAAACAUCUAAUGUUGUCUAAACAAAGCCAUCUACAUCACAGUGAUUUCAUUAUCUAUAGAUGCACAGUAUUUAAUUCAGUAGCCCUAAGUAAAGACAGCUGUCCUGUCCUUUGAAUGCUAUUUUAAUACCCUUUAAAGCAACUCCAAACUGGCCUGUAGGGCUUCAUGUCACCUCUUCUGCACAAGGUUAACAACACUCUGAGAGCUGUCACCAGAGCAUAGGGGCCCUUAAGGGAGGUGGGCCAUACCAAUCUCCAUGGAAAAGAGACAUUGCAGGACUGGCCUGUGACUCAGUGGAUGAUGGAAUGCAGACAAACUACUCAUCUGACUUGAAGCCAAGUGCCUUUAAACAAUGCAUGUCCUGGGAAAGCCACAACCUUACCAACUCUGCAUAGUUCAGAAGCUCUCUCAUCGUGGGAGUUACAUUUCCUGUUUAACUCAGAAAAUUACUGGAACAGUGUCCUUUCUCAUGCUAUUUUCCAAAAAUGUGGGUCUAAUAAAUGACAACCCAACAACAUUAUGAAACAUUAUAACAGAAUGACAGUAUUAUAUUCUACAAAUUAAUAGAAUUUGAAAGAGGUUAUAGAUUAAUAAAAAGGUCACAAUUCUGCAGUAGAAACAAAGCUUUUGAAUUCCUUAAUGUUGUUUUAAAAAAAGAAUUAAAUAAUUUCAUAACUAAGUAAUAACACAUAAGCAGUAUGCACAAUUGCAAAUGUGAUGUUUUUUACACAUCUAGAAGUCCUGAAUAAAUACAUUUUUCCAAAAUGAUUUCCCCACAACAAAAAUUCAAACGACUCCAACUAUGUUUUGUUUUGUUUUUUAGAAUUGAAAUGAUAAAAGCAUUACGCAUUAGCAUAACAUGAGUCACGAAUACUUUUUUCAAGUAACUAGUAAAGUAACAAAAGGAAGAAAAAAUAAUUUUAAUUUUUUUCAAAUAAGUAAGGUGCAGAGGCACUUCACACCCUGAGGCUUAUUCAUUUCACUUUUGGUGUGAAAGGGCCAGAGGGCCUUUGGUGUUUACAGUUGCCAAAAAUAUAACUUUUGUGUUUUGUGUUAUAAAAAAUAAAUAAACAAUCCCAGCUCAGGUGACAAAAAGUCAAGAGUAACUUUCCCCAAUACUGCGAAGUGAUGUAGACUGUGUCUCAAAUCUCAAACCCUCUUAGUAGACACUCCAAUUUAUUAAGUAUUUCACAACCAUUAAAAAUUAUGUUAUAUAUAGUAUGAAUGAUAAGUGCAAUAUGAAUAUAUUCCAGACAUACAACAUUCGUCAUGUUGACAUUAUCACAUGGUCAACAAUUAUUUCAAAUAGUAAGCUAGGUCAUCCAGGUAGCCUAUUUUUUUAUGAAUACUGUGAAUUUGGACAUACUACUCACUUUCACUAGGCUAGGGAAUAAUCACACAUGUUCAUAUGCAGCCCAUAGUGUUUCAAUUUGUGACACUUUGUGGAACCGAAACGUUAGUGGAUCAUGUUCACAGGUAGUGUGAUAAUUACUGAGUUAUUCUGCUAGGAUACCUGGGAGGGGAACUGACGUCACACAUCCACUAAAACUCACCUUGGCACUAACCAUGGCAUAAACGGCUCAGAAAAAGUUAUUUCCGAGAGAAGCUUUUGUGUCUAAUGCUGUUAGAUUUUGAACUGUUAAAAUAUUUUACCAUACACUACAUUAAAACAAGCG